rfam:Triticum aestivum genome assembly, contig: Triticum_aestivum_CS42_TGACv1_scaffold_404956_5BL
AUGGUACUCCCUCCGUCCGGAAAUACUUUUCAUCAAAAUGAAUAAACGGGGAUGUAGAUGUAUUUUAGUUCUAAAUACAUCCCUUUUUGUCCAUUUUGAUGACAAGUAUUUUCGGACGGACGGAGUACCUG